ensembl:lncRNA
CUUCAUCACAGAGCUUGCCCGUGGAGCUGGUGGUGGAGGUGGAGCUGGAGGUGGAGCUGGAGGUGGAGGUGGACAGGGGCUGGGAGGGACCUGACGGGGGCUUGGCGACUAGAGGCCCGUCAUCAUCGGAGGAGUUGUCCUCGGACGCUCCCAGGAUGAAGGCCAGUUUGGGCCGGGGACUCUUGAACGCCAUCAGGGGGGGGAGUGCGGUGGUCGGCCGGCUCUCGGCCUCCCCGCCGCCGGAGGUCUGCUCCGGGCGGGGGUCUCCUACCGCCGCUCCUGAGGCCCCUGGAGGCUGUGGAGCGGCACCUGUCGCCGCGCCGCCCACCUGAGAGCCGCGGUCCUCCGGGCCAGCGGGGGCAGCGGUGCUGCGUGGGGCGGCGGGCUGCUGGGGCUGUUCCUCCGGGCCAGGGGGGCGUGUGCGUCAGCGGGCAGCUCCUCGGGCACCGCAGCGGAGGCUUGUCCUCCUCCAGGCAUCCCUGCCGUGGCCUCGGGGUGCGACCGCCAGCGUAG